rnacentral:lncRNA from 1 species
CGCAGCGAUGGAUUAUAAGAUGUAAUCUCUUAUCCGUGGCGAAAAUAAGGAAAGGAUCGUGGGUUUUUCGUAGAAGAUUUGAACGUCGUGCGAAAGCGUGUAGAAGAAGGUGUAAGAAGGAUAUUCGAGCUUCGGCAUAGCAGUGUAAUAUCGCAGCGACAUUCUCUUUUGCAUUUUUAUGAUCGUCACGCUUGUUUCGUGUAACAUAGCCGCUCGAUUUUGAAUUGCAUUUAAAUUUGAAUUCGACUCAGAUUUCAUGUCGACGCGAGACGAAGGAUCAGGGGUGCCACAUCCAACUCUAGAUAUACCGUAAUGUUUAAUUCCGAUUAUUGUACCCUCGAGAAUUCGCCCUAAAGCCACCCCUGCGCAGUUAGCGCGCGCCCCGCCGCAACGCGUGUUCCCUCUGAUGAACUCGAGAAUCCGCAAAGAAAGGAAAAAAAUUUUGAGUAUAGAAACUAGGUUAAAAGUAACUAGGUAGAUCUUGUUAAAAUAGUAUGAAGCACGUUUCGGACACGUUUUGGAUCUGCGUUUGCGGGGAAAGUAAUUGCACUCGCAAGCGCAAAACGCGGGAGCUUCAAAGCGGCGUGCGCGGCUUGUGACCCGCCGCCGUAUCGACCCCUCACCAUUGGAUGACGCAUCCUCCAAUGACCGGCCGGUCUGGCGAUUACGUCACUCCGGGGUAUUAUUGACGCCGGACGUGUGCAGCGGCGUCGCACUGCCGCGUUUUCCGUGCAGUGGCAUCCCUCCGUGCGAUCCCCUGUCGAGGGGUUGCGUAAUGAUUGCACCGGUCCAGCGGAUCGCAGUGGGUUCAACCGUUUCAGAGGACGAACUCGGUACCCCCGGUGGGCUCUCGUACUUCCGACCAGCUCGCUCAUGUCACUUUCUCUGCGCUGCGCUUCCCACCUUGUAUAUUGAUACAGAAUUAAAUUAUUUAUUGGCAUUUAUCAAGCGUCCUGCAAUAGACAUUCCGUCUGCAUAAUUAAUCAAUCCCGGGGAUCAAUAUUGUUACAAGAUUAUUGUCGACUUCUUCGCGGCGUCCUGAUUUCGCUGAAUGAUGUAUUGUAUAAUUGUCGGCCGGCGUGACGGUAACAGCACAGAUUGAAAAUGAUGAUGGUCAAGCCUUCGCAGGACAUUAGCGCCGAGGGGGCCCGCUUGAAUUAACACGGCGUGUCGGACUUCCGUCGAGGCAAAUUGGUGAACGUUCUCUUCUCCGUGACGACUUACAAAAGAUUCAAUAAAGAGGGAAUGGCGUCACCGACUUGGAAUUCGGAUCCUGCGUCCUCUGGUAGACGCGUUACCCUUACUUGCCGUUAUAUUUGCGCUCUGCGUUGGCGAGCCGCAUUAUGAUGGAUCGUGUCGAGAUUAAUCUCGUCCGAAUUCGUUAAUCUUUUAUAAAGAAGCACUUACCUUUGUACAAAAUAUAGACCGGAUGUACAUCCUCUUCUGGGCCGAGAAACCAGAAUGGAAUCUGAAUUUCCGCUGGUAAAGGACGUUGCGGAAGACAAUGUAUUAUAAUAAUAGCAACUUGUCCUCUCUUCGUCUCACAAGUAACAUGUGAUUACGCUUGCAUUAGAUUGAUGCAGAAUUGAAGUCUCACGCUUCGUUGUUAAUAACACCAAUAAAUUCGUUGCGUGUCUCCCGUUGAAGCUAAUUUAUUAAAAACUACUACUGAAUGUAUGUAUGGUUGGUGACGUCGAAUUUGUCGGGAUUCAAAAGAUGUAUGUCGGUGAUGAGAGAUUUACGAGAAUGAGAUCUGUUUAGUCGACUUUAUUCUAUAACGCCUUCGAGAGUAUUGAGCAAUCGAUACAGAUAUCGUUGAACAAUAAAUUCUCGCGACAAAUAAAUUCUCGUGACAAAAAA